rnacentral:rRNA from 1 species
CGGACGGGUGAGUAACGCGUGGAUAACCUACCUCAUACAGGGGGAUAACAGUUGGAAACGACUGUUAAUACCGCAUAAGCGCACAGGACUGCAUGGUUCUGUGUGAAAAACUCCGGUGGUAUGAGAUGGGUCCGCGUCUGAUUAGCUAGUUGGCAGGGUAACGGCCUACCAAGGCGACGAUCAGUAGCCGGCCUGAGAGGGUGUACGGCCACAUUGGGACUGAGACACGGCCCAGACUCCUACGGGAGGCAGCAG